rnacentral:lncRNA from 1 species
AAUUAAAAUAAUGAUAAGUGCUAUGAAUAAGAUAUUAGUUUAUGCAUUAUUUAGCACUUAUCACACCCCCCAACCUACAUUUUGCUAGUCCUCGAGUAAAAUAAAAACUAACUCACUUUCGCAGGAAUCGCGAUUGCAUUUACCGUAUGCAAUAAGGCUUUAAACCCCUAGGUGGUCCUAGUGGACGAGUUUUGUCUCGUGAGGGUUUCCGGCUCAGAUACCCACAAACUGUUGUCCCUACUUAAAGAAUUUAUUUUAUUAUUUUAUAAAAUCUAAUUUCAAAUGCAUAAGUGCCAAUAAUUUCA